GACGAACGCUGGCGGCGUGCUUAGCACAUGCAAGUCGAACGGUAAGGCCCUUCGGGGUACACGAGUGGCGAACGGGUGAGUAACACGUGGGUGAUCUGCCCUGCACUUCGGGAUAAGCCUGGGAAACUGGGUCUAAUACUGGAUAGGACUCCGGACUGCAUGGUCUGGGGUGGAAAGCUUUUGCGGUGUGGGAUGGGGUGGCCCGCGGCCUAUCAGCUUGUUGGUGGGGUGGUGGCCUACCAAGGCGACGACGGGUAGCCGGCCUGAGAGGGUGACCGGCCACACUGGGACUGAGAUACGGCCCAGACUCCUACGGGAGGCAGCAGUGGGGAAUAUUGCACAAUGGGCGCAAGCCUGAUGCAGCGACGCCGCGUGAGGGAUGACGGCCUUCGGGUUGUAAACCUCUUUCAGCACCGACGAAGCGCAAGUGACGGUAGGUGCAGAAGAAGGACCGGCCAACUACGUGCCAGCCGCCGCGGUAA
rnacentral:rRNA from 1 species